CAGAAGUUGUCUAGUCCUUUUUUUUUCUCUUCAAUUUUAUGGUUUCGAGUUUUCUAGGUGACAGUUUUUCUGCUAUUUGUUGUUGAAUUUGCUGAUUUUGUUAAACGAAUAUGUUUACAUAAGGGAGUUAUGGCGGAGCCAGAGACCAAGUUACGGGUUCGGCCCAAACCUAAUAACUCUGGUCCAAACUUUGUUUAUUUCUUAAAAAAUUCAUUUAAUAGGUAUAAAUUAUUAGUUUAGAACCCAGUACAUAAACUUCAAAUUAUGGCUUCGCCUAACUAGGAAAUUGUGACAUUUUUCAAGUUUCAAUUUUCUACUUCUAAUAGGGAGCUGCUUCUUUGGUUUUUAGAACAAUUUUUUAGGGGUUUCAAUUCCAUCUUGUUAGAGAUUCAUAUGCUAGUAUGAGACGGGCGGAUUUUGGGGGGCGGAAGGGGGUUCACUCGAACUCCCGUCGUCGAAAAAUUACACUGUAUAUAUAAGGCACAAUCUGUUUUUUACCUUUAUAUGUUAAGUUUUGAACCCCUUUAACACAACCCAAAAGUGUAGUUUAGUGGUCAAGGGGGUUCAAAACCUUAACAAGGUCAUAGGUUCAAUUUCCACUAGCUACAAAAAGAAUUUUUGAACCCCCUUCGUGGAGAUGCUGCCUCCGCCACUGGUUGGAGAUAUCGAGAACUUCUAAUAUUUUUCAUUUUUUAUUUUAUUUUGUAAAAUGUUUGAAUGAGAUGGUUUCCAAUGGGAAACAUGGUUAGUCAUGAUUCAUAUAGCCAACCCUAGCUUGUUUGGAAUUGAGGCAUUGUAGUUGUUGUAUUAUGAGUACUUUUUUGGCCUUUAUUCCCAUCCCGCGUAAGAACAUAGGUUUUUUCCCUCAGUUUCUGCUCUCCUUGCUUUAACUAAAGAACUACCUUUCACUUUAAGUAGGACUCUAAGAGCUCUACCUUAGAAUGAGUUAGAUUUCCUGUGUUAACAAGAAGGAAUGGCGGGACGCUAAAGAGAGGGCUAUGAGACUAGUGCAAUCAGGUAAUCGACCAAGUAAUCCACAUACAUGAUAAAAGAGCAUUCCAGCCCUAGUGUACUUAUCCACUGGCAUUGAAGGAGAAGAAUGACAAGGUCUGCUUCCACAGUAAGGAUUGCCGCUUAGUCCAAUCCAAGAGCAAACGAUUGGGGUCCCAAAUUUUUUCUCACACUUUCUUAAAUUUUCAGCUGUUUAGGAGGUGAUUGCCAAGAUCCAGUACAAAAUUUUGUGCUAUUUACUAAUCAAACAUGACAGUAGAGGUGCAAUCUGAGGCAACUCAAGUAGCUGAGGUUGUUGUUCCAAAAGAAGAAUUAGAGGCUAAAAAGAUUGUAGAGGAGGUUGAGAAUGAGAAAGUAAAAGAAGAGGAGGAGGAGGAGACCAAACCAAAGGCAAUAGAAAAGAGCUCUUCUUAUAGAGAAGAGAGCAACUUUCUCUCUGAUCUCAAAGAGAAUGAGAAGAAGGCUUUGAAUGAUCUCAAAUCAAAACUCGAGGAGGCCAUUCUUGGUAACACUCUCUUCAAAAAAGAAGAGAGUUCCACCAAAAAGUCUCCAGAGAAAUCACCAUCAGGUGAAGAGGAAGAAAAGAAAGAUAAUGAGAACAAGGUUGAGGAGAAAGAGACAAAGAAUGAGGAAAAUUGCGAUACAAAUUGUGAGAAUAAAGAGGAGAAAGAGAGUGAGAAAGAGGGGGCUGAUUUGGAUGUUGAUGAAGUGGAUAAAGAGAUCUCCAUUUGGGGGGGGGGGGGGGUACCUCUAUUGCCUAGCAAAGGGGGUGAGAAAACCAAUGUGGUUAUUUUGAAAUUCUUGAGAGCAAGGGAUUACAAAGUGAAUGAAUUAUUCGAAAUGCUCAAGAAAACACUCCAGUGGAGGAAGGAUUUUGAGGUCGAAUCAAUCUUGGAGGAAGAUUUAGGGUCAGAUCUUGCUCCAACUGCUUACAUGAGUGGAAUUGAUAACCAAGGCCACCCAAUUUGUUACAACAUUUUUGGAGUUUUGGAUGAUCAAGAGCUGUAUAACAAGACAUUCGGGACGGAGGAGAAACGUAAGCAGUUCUUGAGGUGGAGAGUGCAGUUAAUGGAGAAGGGUAUUCAGCAGCUUGAUUUCAAGGCUGGUGGAGUCAGUUCACUGCUUCAGAUUAAUGAUCUGAAGAACUCCCCUGGACCUUCCAAGAAAGAGGUCAGGAUUGCUAGAAAACAAGAUGUUGAUCUUCUUCAGGAUAACUACCCUGAAUUUGUUGCAAAAAAUAUAUUCAUCAAUGUUCCAUUUUAGUAUUAUGCUUUCCAGUCAUUGCUCUCUCCUUUCCUAACUCAAAGAACCAAAAGCAAAUUCGUUUUGCUCGCCCUGCUAAGGUCACUGAGACUUUGCUCAAGUACAUUCCUAUCCAAGAAAUCCCAAUUCAAUAUGGUGGACUCAAGAGGGAGAAUGACUUUGAGUUUUCAGCCUCUGACUGUGAAGCUUCUGAAAUUCUUCUUAAAGCUGGAUCAACUGAAAACAUUGAAAUACCUGCACCAGAGGUGGGAAGUACAUUUAUCUGGGAUGUUACCAUAGUGGGAGGGGAAGUGAGAUAUAAGGAGGAAUUUGUGCCAGAGGAUGAGAACUCUUACACAAUUAUCAUUCAGAAGGAGAAGAAGUUGAGCUCGCCAAUUCGCAACACAUUCAAGAACAAUGAAGCUGGAAAAGUUGUGCUGACAAUUAAGAACACUUCUAGCAAGAAGAAGAAGGCGUUUUACCGACACAAGAUCAAGAAAUCAGCAAUUUGAGAUCACAAAUUUCUGUUUUGAGUGAAUAUGAAGAUGGAGUUUUAUUUCAGUUUUUUGUUCCCAGCAGUAUAACUUUUUUUUGUGGUUCAUAUACUUUAUUAUUCUUUUGGCUCUAUAUUCAUAUUGUAUAUGUUGAUUUAUUCAUUUUUCUCCCUAUAAGGAACAUGAUCUCUGGAACUUUUUUUUUAACC